ACUCCUACGGGAGGCAGCAGUGGGGAAUAUUGCACAAUGGGGGAAACCCUGAUGCAGCCAUGCCGCGUGUGUGAAGAAGGCCUUGGGUUGUAAAGCACUUUCAGUAGGGAGGAAGGUAGUGUAGUUAACACCUGCAUUAUUUGUACGUUACCUACAGAAGAAGCACCGGCUAACUCCGUGCCAGCAGCCGCGGUAAUACGGAGGUGCGAGCGUUAAUCGGAAUUACUGGGCGUAAAGCGCAUGCAGGCGGCCUGUUAAGUCAGAUGUGAAAGCCCGGGGUCUUAACCUCGGAAUUGCAUUUGAAACUGGCAGGCUAGAGUCUUGUAGAGGGGUUAGAAUUUCGAGGUGUAGCGGUGAAAUGCGUAGAGAUCUGAAGGAAUACCAGUGGCGAA
rnacentral:rRNA from 1 species